GUUCCUCUUAAGACUGGAAGAGGGAGCAGCUGGGCUCAAAACACCAGGUGCCAGGACACAGCUGUUCCCUCCCUGUACCCCUCCACACCCAAGCAAGCUGAGCUGGGUGGACGCUGAGGGGGGUGGGGCCGCCUUGCGCUCUCCUGGGAUGCUCUACCCUCCCGCAGGCAAAUGCGUCCGGAAAUCGAUUGUGAGCAGCAGUUCUGACUGGUCCAGGUCCUGCCAUGCCGGUGCCACUGCUCCCGUUGCUGCUUCGAUCGCUGCUGUCCCGCCUGCUGCUGCCUGUGGCCCGCCUGGCUCGCCAGCACCUCCUGCCCCUGCUGCGCCGUCUGGCCCGUCGACUGAGCUCCCAAGACAUGCGUGAGGCUCUCCUGGGCUGUCUGUUGUUUGUCCUCAGCCAGCAACAGCCACCGGAGGCUGCAGAGGCCUCCAGAGUGGACCGCUCUCAGAGGAAGGAGAGAUUGGGCCACCGGAAGUGAGGCCGUGAGUCCUGGAAGCAGCAAUGUUCAUCAAAGUACUUUCAGUCCAGGCAUCCGCACUUGACUGCAGGACGUCCAGUCGGGGAAGCCAGAGUAGGGGCUGAGUAGAAGAGGGUUCUGACCUGAACAGCUCCCUCUCCCCUAGGACCCAUCUGACCAAGGUUGUGUUGUUCGCCCCGCCCCGCCUGGCUGCAGCUCCCUCUGCCUCACCUCUGGCCUCCAGGUUGGACCUGCAAAUGGAGGUAUCCAGACCUCGGACCCCUGAGGACGAUCUUGAGCUGACUUCGAGAGUGGCGGCAUUACAGGCAUACACCACAUCCAAGGCCAGUUCGUGUGGAACUGGGGGAUUGAACCCAGGGCUUUGUGCAUGCUAGGAGAGCAC